rnacentral:sRNA from 1 species
AUAGACCGUUAGGUUCCGUGGUACCCUGGAGUCCACAGCUGCUGAAUCUGAAGGGCCAUCAGAAGACUGGCUUCUCCAUGAUGGUUCAUGGACUAAGGCAAAGAUGAGCAGAGCCAUGGCCCUCUUCUUUGUUCUCUGCUGGAUCCAAGGUUCUCCCUCUGUCACCCAGAGCUGGAGUGCGGUGGCAUAAUCACAGCUAAUUGCAGCCUCAACAUUCCAGGCCCAAGGAUCCUCCCUUCAGCCUUCCAGAGUCGGGGUCUCCCUAUGUUUCCCAGGCUGGCCUCGAACUCCUGACCUCAAGUGAUCCUCCCACCUCAGCCUCCCAGAGUGCUGGGAUUAAAGACGUGAGCCACGGCACCUGGCCUGAAUUUUCCUCAAAUUCAAAAAAUGCUGAUGAAGGUUUGGCUAAAAUCUUUGGUGAGUUACCCCACUCCCUGUGGAACCUCAGGCUGGAUUUGAAGAGUUGCGUGCAUGGUCCUCAUUGUCUCCCAGGUAACCUGUUCCCGCUGCUGUGAAGGGAAGGCAGGUGCUCUUCCUUGAGGCUAGAAUCUGUCUACGUGUCACAGUCUCAGGAAAUUAAGCAAAACAGAUGAUAAACACCUCAAAAGGACCCUACUGAGCAUGAGUGGAGCAGACCAGGGCCAUAU